rnacentral:rRNA from 1 species
AUUGAACACUGGCAGCAUGCCUUACACAUGCAAGUCGAACGGCAGCACGGGUGCUUGCACCUGGUGGCGAGUGGCGAACGGGUGAGUAAUACAUCGGAACGUACCUUAUCGUGGGGGAUAACGCAGCGAAAGCUGUGCUAAUACCGCAUACGCCCUGAGGGGGAAAGCGGGGGAUCGAAAGACCUCGCGCGAUUAGAGCGGCCGAUGCCUGAUUAGCUUGUUGGUGGGGUAAAAGCCCACCAAGGCGACGAUCAGUAGCUGGUCUGAGAGGACGAUCAGCCACACUGGGACUGAGACACGGCCCAGACUCCUACGGGAGGCAGCAGUGGGGAAUUUUGGACAAUGGGGGCAACCCUGAUCCAGCAAUGCCGCGUGAGUGAAGAAGGCCUUCGGGUUGUAAAGCUCUUUUGUCAGGGAAGAAACACCGGCUCUAACACAGUCCGGGAAUGACGGUACCUGAAGAAUAAGCACCGGCUAACUACGUGCCAGCCGCCGCAGUAA